UACGUAGGGGGCAAGCGUUGUCCGGAAUCAUUGGGCGUAAAGAGCGUGUAGGCGGCCCGGUAAGUCCGCUGUGAAAGUCCAGGGCUCAACCCUGGGAUGCCGGUGGAUACUGUCGGGCUCGAGUCCGGAAGAGGAGUGUGGAAUUCCUGGUGUAGCGGUGAAAUGCGCAGAUAUCAGGAGGAACACCGGUGGCGAAGGCGGGUCUCUGGGCCGAUAUUGACGCUGAGGAGCGAAAGCGUGGGGAGCGAACAGG
rnacentral:rRNA from 1 species